rnacentral:rRNA from 1 species
UACGAAGGGGGCUAGCGUUGUUCGGAAUUACUGGGCGUAAAGCGCGCGCAGGCGGUCCUUCAAGUCAGAGGUGAAAGCCCAGAGCUCAACUCUGGAACGGCCUUUGAAACUAGAGGACUUGGGUACGGGAGAGGUGAGUGGAAUUCCGAGUGUAGAGGUGAAAUUCGUAGAUAUUCGGAAGAACACCAGUGGCGAAGGCGGCUCACUGGACUGGUAUUGACGCUGAGGUGCGAAAGCGUGGGGAGCAAACAGG